ACACUACACACUACACACUACACACUACACAUUAUACACUACACACUACACACUAUAACACUACACACUAUACACUACACACUACACACUAUACACUACACACUACACAUACACUACACACUUCACACUACACACUACACAACACACUAAUACUACACAUUAUAAACUAUACACUACAUACUACACACAACACACACUAUACAUUAUACACACACUACACACUAUACAAUAUACACUACACACUACACACUACUAACUACACAUUAUACACUACACACAAUACACUACACACUACACACUACACAUUAUACACUACACACUACACACUACAUACUACAUACUACACAUUAUACACUACACACUACACACUACACACUACACACUACACACUAUACACUACACACUACACAUUAUACACUACACACUACACAUUAUACACUACACACUAUACACUACACAUUAUACACUACACACUACACAUUAUACACUACACACUACACAUUAUACACUACACACUAUACACUACACAUUAUACACUACACACUACACAUUAUACACUACACACUAUACACUACACACUACAUACUACACACUACACACUACACAUUAUACACUACACACUACACAUGAUACACUACAAACUACACACUACACAUUAUACACUACACACGACACAUUAUACACUACACACUACACAUUAUACACUACACACUACACAAUAUACACUACACACUAUACACUGCACACUACACACUACACAUUAUACACUACACACUACACACUAUACACUACACACUACACACUACACACUACACACUACACAUUAUACACUACACACUAUACACUACACACUACACAUUAUACACUACACACUACACAUUAUACACUACACACUACACACUAUACACUACACACUACACAUUAUACACUACACACUACACAUGAUACACUACAAACUACACACUACACAUUAUACACUACACACGACACAUUAUACACUACACACUACACAUUAUACACUACACACUACACACUACACAAUAUACACUACACACUAUACACUACACACUAUACACUGCACACUACACACUACACAUUAUACACUACACACUACACACUAUACACUACACACUGCACAUUAUACACGACACACUACACACUACACAACACACUAAUACUACACAUUAUAAACUAUACACUACACACUACACACAACACAUUAUACACUACACACUAGUGUUGUGGUGGUCAAGACCGGUCUUGGUCUCGAGACCGGUCUCGAGACCAAAUUUUAAAGGUCUUGGUCUUGUUUCGGAC
rnacentral:lncRNA from 1 species